rnacentral:lncRNA from 1 species
CUAGUCUAGCUGAAAAUGAGCUACCACAUCCCAACAUCUACUAACAUAAAUAAAAUAAAAUAAAAGCCACCGGAGAGUGCCCCCUUCCAUUAAUUGGAGCUUCUGGAUCACACAGAAGCAACGCCUUGUUAGGCCUUGUUUAGAUGUAAUUUUUUUUUUUUGGAUUUCGCUACUGAAGUACUUUCGUUUGUUUGUGGUAAAUAUUAUUAAAUCAUAGACUAACUAGGAUCAAAAGAUUCGUCUCGCGAUUUAUAGUAGAGUCAAAAGAUUAGUUUUUGUUUUCGUCUAUAUUUAGUGCUUCAUGCAUGUGCCGCAAGAUUCGAUAUGACGGAGAAUCUUGAAAAGUUUUUGGAUUUUGGUGAAAGCUAAACAAGGCCUUAUAUGGGAUAUUUGAGACGAAACAAACAACAUGCUAUAUGUCUAAGGGCGUGUUUGCUUUCUCUUACUAAAUUUUAGUUAACUAAAUUUUAGUUAAUUUAGUAACUAAACUUUUAAACACAAGGACCAAAAUAGAGCUAAAAUAAUUUAGUUCUACUAGUCAUCCAAAAAUAACUAAAAUAAUUUUAUAUGGUAAUUUAACAAGAUAAACCAAACAGACUCUAGCAUUUGCCUCUACAAGUUGAGAUCAACGGUCAGCAGCCAAAUAGUCAUUAUUGUGGUCUUUGAUCGCAAAACCAAUUCCCGUUCUCUCUCAUGCAAAUAAAGCAUCAUCAAUGUUCGUCUUCACCCAUCCUUUCGGCAAGCCCAUUGUUUAGAUUUUGCAGGGUUCACAUCUUUUGGAAUUAAUAGGUUUGUUAAAGAUGCAGCAUAAACAUGAAGUUGUAUUUAUUAGAAAGCUCAACUUAAGGUCACCUUAGGCAUUGUUUAGGUUCAAAAAGUUUUUAGAUUUUAACACUAUAACACUUUUGUUUUUACUUGACAAAUAUUGUUCAAUCAUGGAGUAACUAGGUUUAAAAGAUUCGUCUCGCGAUUUACAGGUAAACUGUGUAAUUAUUUUUUAUUUUUAUCUAUAUUUAAUGCUCUAUGCAUGUGCCGUAAGAUUCGAUGUGACGAAAAAUCUUGAUUUUUUUUUUGUUUUUGGGUAAACUAAACAAGGCCUUAGAGUAUCUCCAAGAGACUAGGUCUAAACUACAAAAUUUAGCCAUUGUGUAAAAUAAAAAACUCACUCAAAGCAUAGAGUCCACAACAGUCUUUGUAUAUGAUAGCUAGUGAGGACGAUAUGCUAUAUUUGACAAGCGAAAGUUUAUGAAUAGAAUACUUGUUAUUUUAGCAAACCAGAUAGCACAUCUGUUAGACUUUAAUUUUUACUUUAAAAAUAUAAAAAUAGGCUAAAUAACAUGGAUAACAUAUCUGCUGAAAUUGCUCUUAUAAUUGUAUUAUUGCGGUCGUAUUUCGAAAUGAGAUGACCCAACUCCCCAUCGAUCCUGAGACAGAGUGAUACUUUUGGCCACUUGAAUACUAUUGUCCAAGAGUCGCUUGCGAUACAUCAGAGUGCGCCAGUCUAUUAUAAUUUAUCGAGUUCAAUUUACUCAUAGGUUAACGGGUAUGGGCAAUGCAGUCCCAUACUCUUACCCGCUGGGUAAAGUUUUUUUUCCCAUUAUCUUACCCAUGGGUACAAAAAAUAGGCAUACCCUUACCCUAACGAGGUAAUUACCCAUCGGGUUUCGGGUAAAAAUUGUCAUCUCUAGUUGCGAGGUGGUCUAGAAUCCAUGGGUGAAGAAUUUGGAUAGUG